CGGGCCAGAUUUCAAGACUCUGACAUGCUGGAAGUGAGAGUUCUGGGCCAUAAAUUCCGAAAUCCGGUAGGAAUUGCUGCAGGAUUUGACAAGCAUGGGGAAGCCGUGGACGGACUUUAUAAGAUGGGCUUUGGUUUUGUUGAGAUAGGAAGUGUGACUCCAAAACCUCAGGAAGGAAACCCUAGACCCAGAGUCUUCCGCCUCCCCGAGGACCAAGCUGUCAUUAACAGGUAUGGAUUUAACAGUCACGGGCUUUCAGUGGUGGAACACAGGUUACGGGCCAGACAGCAGAAGCAGGCCAAGCUCACAGAAGUUGGGCAUCGAUGGGCUGAUUGUUACGAACACCACCGUGAGUCGCCCUGCGGGCCUCCAGGGUGCCCUGCGCUCUGAAACAGGAGGGCUGAGUGGGAAGCCCCUCCGGGAUUUA
rnacentral:sRNA from 1 species